GGGGUGCCAGUGGAAGAGAGAAAGCAGGCGAGUGUUUACGGCCUGACUUGGGAGGCCGGCGGAUCAGCAAUUGCAGAAGCAGGCAGCGGCAGAGAGGGAAUGGUGCAGGCAGGCGCUGAGAAGGACGCGCAGUCCAUCUCUCUCAGAAAAGAACAAUGGGAAACCAAACAUCAAAGAACAGAAAGGAAGAUCCCUAAAUACGUUCCGCCUCACCUUUCUCCAGAUAAGAAGUGGCUUGGAACUCCCAUUGAGGAGAUGAGAAGAAUGCCUCAGUGUGGGAUCCGGCUGCCUCUCUUGAGACCAUCUGCCAAUCACACAGUAACUGUUUGGAAUGGUGAGCGAACUGCGGGGAGCCGGUGGGAGCUCAUUCAGACUGCACUUCUCAACAAAUUUACACGACCCCAAAACUUGAAGGAUGCUAUUCUGAAAUACACUGUGGCAUAUUCUAAGAAAUGGGACUUUACAGCUUUGAUCGAUUUCUGGGAUAAGCUUUCGAACCUCUGAUUUGGAGUUCAGUGGAAAUUUAACCUUUUUGGACCUCUUCCCUUGGUGACUCACAGUCUCUGGAAUCAUAAGGUACUUGAAGAAACAGAAGCUCAACAUUUAUAUCAGUCCAUCUUGCCUGAUAUGGUGAAAAUUGCACUCUGUCUGCCAAAUAUUUGCACCCAGCCAAUACCACUCCUGAAACAGAAGAUGAAUCAUUCCAUCACAAUGUCGCAGGAACAGAUUGCCAGUCUUUUAGCUAAUGCUUUCUUCUGCACAUUUCCACGAUGAAAUGCUCAGAUGAAAUCGGAGUAUUCUAGUUACCCAGACAUUAACUUCAAUCGAUUGUUUGAGGGACGUUCAUCAAGGAAACCGGAGAAACUUAAAACGCUCUUCUGCUACUUUAGAAGAGUCACAGAGAAAAGUAAAUUCCUUUCAUUCUUACUGUAAUUUUUCUUGCUGAUGGGAACAGUUCAAGUCAAGUGACAUGUGAGGAACAUUUUGUGUUUAACGUAAACCUUCCUGUCCCAACCACAUUGAAACACUAGUAAUGAUGCGACAAUAUAACCUAGAUUUUAUGCUUAUGUUGUGUAUAAGCAUAAACGUGUGCUAAAUGUAGGGGGGGCGGGGUUUACAUACUCUGAAAUCGGACCCAUAUUCUCUGAAAUCUGUAAUAUACAUCAAAAGAUUUUCAUGAAUAAAAACCAGAGAAAGUAUAUUGACCAGGAAA
rnacentral:lncRNA from 1 species